CCCCCUUCCCGCAUACCCACGGACGCUCGCCUGCUCAGCCCUCUGGUCACUCCAUCUGUCUCUUCAGCCUGCGGUAGUUGCCCCGAGUUCCUCGCCAGACUCCAUCUGCCGCCGUCCAAUCAGCACCCACACAUCAGAGUAGACAGUAGUACCUAGACCAUAACCUCCCCAGUCCGACACUCACCGACUAAGGUCAACCCCGCCCAGACGUUCAGGCCUCGAUCCCGGCGUCCAGUCAUAGCUCCGUGUAUUUGCUCUGUUCCUUUAAUAAAAACUCUUAAACUGA